rnacentral:lncRNA from 1 species
CUACCUCACCCCUUCUGCCAAGUGAGGGCACAGCAAAAAGACGACGGUCUGUGAACCAGGAAGCAGAUUCUUACCAGAUGCUGAAUCUGCUGACACCUUGAUCUUGGACCUCCCAGCCUCGAAAACUAGCUGAAAAUCUUCUCCUCCUUCUUCACGAAGCACCUUGGAGCUCUCUUUUUUGUGAAGCCUCUUCCAGCAUCCUCAGUGUAGCCUGUGAGCAGUGUCUGUAGAGUCUACAGCAGCGUACGGUGAUGCCCCAGGCCUUCCAUCACUCACCGCUCACUCACUGACUCACCCAGGGCAACUGCCAGGGCUGCAAGCUCCAUUCAUGGUCAGUGCCCUAUACAGGAUGGCUGAGCCACGGGAUCAGUGAGCAUAGAGUACGUGCUGACAAGUAUUUGUUGAACAAACAUUGGAAAUGAGCCAUCCUACUUCCUGGUUACAUCAGUUAACUGAAGAUGGAGUCAAUCUCUCUUCCCCUUGAACUUGGGCUGGCCUUUGUGACUGCCUCAAGAAAUAGAAUGGGGCUGAAGAGAUGCUCUGCGACUUCCAAGGAUGAGCUGAAGAAGUCAUGCAGUUUCAAUCAAUUUCUCUUGGGACAUUUGCUCUGGGAGCCUUUACCCUCCACAUAAGAAGUGUGGAUACACGGGAAGAGACAGAGAGGGAGAGAAUGGCCUGAGGAGCUUUAGAUGUUUUUCUGACAUCCAAUCUAAAUGUUGGACUUGGGAGUGAAGAAAUUUUUGAAAUGACCCCAGCUCCAACCACUGUCUGACAGCAACCACGCGAGAAAUGCCUGCAGUCCAGUCAAUCCACAGAUUUGCAAGCAAAAUCAAUGAUAAAGUUUUAAAAUACUCCCAUAAAGUGAUUUGUUACUUAGCCAUAAUCCAGCACGUGACAAUUAGUUUCAAGAAAUGAAACAAUUCAAACUUUUCAUUACAUGUUCCACUGAAACGUCUUCUGCCUGAAAUACCGAGUGCCAUCUUAUAACAUACUUUCCAACUUGUAUCAGAAGUACCUCAAAAUUAGAUUUACACAAUUCUGAAGAGAGGGGGACUAGUUAGACCAGAUGUGCUUAAAUUAAGCAUUAAAAGUUUUACAUUUUCUACGAGAUUAUUGAAAAAAUAACCAUCUAUAUAACUUUUAC